rnacentral:rRNA from 1 species
GGCGAGUGAAGCGGCAGUAGCUCAAAUUUGAAAUCUGGGGUCCUCGGCCUCCGAGUUGUAAUUUGGAGAGGAAUCUUCGGGGGGGAGCGCCGGCCCAUGUUCCUUGGAACAGGACGUCACAGAGGGUGAGAAUCCCGUGCCAGGCCGGCUGCCUCCUCCCGGGUGAAGGUCCUUCGACGAGUCGAGUUGUUUGGGAAUGCAGCUCCAAGUGGGUGGUAAAUUUCAUCUAAAGCUAAAUACCGGCGGGAGACCGAUAGCGCACAAGUAGAGUGAUCGAAAGAUGAAAAGCACUUUGAAAAUAGAGUCAAAAAGUACGUGAAAUUGUUGAAAGGGAAGCGCUUGAGACCAGACUCAGGCCCGGGCAAACAUCUCUCCCCUCGGGGCCGUGCAAUUGCCUGGGGCUGGGCCAGCAUCAGUUGGCGUGGCGGGACAAAGGCGUGGGGAAUGUGGCUCCCCUCGGGGAGUGUUAUUAGCCCCGCGCUCAAUGCCGCCGGCGCCGACUGAGGACCGC